CUUCAGCGAUCCCAGCCACAACGGCUGAUCCGGCGCAUGCUCCUUGCCGUACGUGGCCAGCAACGCCUGUGCCUC
rnacentral:antisense_RNA from 1 species